AGGAUUCGCCAACCAACAAGCUCCUCUACGCCAAGGAGAUUCCUGAGUACCGGAAGAUCGUGCAGCGCUACUACAAGCAGAUCCAGGACAUGACGCCGCUCAGCGAGCAAGAGAUGAAUGCCCAUCUGGCCGAGGAGUCGAGGAAAUACCAGAAUGAGUUCAACACCAAUGUGGCCAUGGCAGAGAUUUAUAAGUACGCCAAGAGGUAUCGGCCGCAGAUCAUGGCCGCGCUGGAGGCCAACCCCACGGCCCGGAGGACACAACUGCAGCACAAGUUUGAGCAGGUGGUGGCUUUGAUGGAGGACAACAUCUACGAGUGCUACAGUGAGGCCUGAGACACAUGGAGAGUUGGUCAGGCUGCUGCUGGGAGAAAUGGACGCCCACUGGGCCUCAACUUGAUCUUCUACCCCGUGCCUGUGACUCAGACUGGGAAAUACUGAGCAGAGACGGCUGGGGCGGGGGCAGGAGGAGGGGCUGCUCUCUGAGACAGGGGCGCCCCCGCCUUGACCCCUGGGCACCUCCAUCCCCUCCCACCUGUCCCCAGAUCAGUCUCUGGGAUGGAGGCCAGAGAGCUGGUCAGGCUCCCCCAUCUGCCCAGCACGGCCUGCACUGUGCCCACCCACUUGCUCCACAACGUCCAGUUGGUCCUGCUGCCAAGAGCCCCGUGCAUCCAGGCGGCCAAGCACAAACUGGGGGAGAGGAGGCCGCCAGCCCGGAGGCUGCAGCCCAGAAACUCUACCUCAUCCACACUGGUGCAGGGAGCCCUCCUUGAACUGACCUUUGAUUGGUUUCUGCUUCAACUACC
rnacentral:lncRNA from 1 species